rnacentral:rRNA from 1 species
UACGUAGGGUGCGAGCGUUAAUCGGAAUUACUGGGCGUAAAGCGUGCGCAGGCGGCGCGUUAAGACAGGUGUGAAAGCCCCGAGCUUAACUUGGGAAUUGCGCUUGUGACUGGCGUGCUGGAGUGUGGCAGAGGAAGGUGGAAUUCCACGUGUAGCGGUGAAAUGCGUAGAGAUGUGGAGGAACACCAAUGGCGAAGGCAGCCUUCUGGGCCAACACUGACGCUCAUGCACGAAAGCGUGGGGAGCAAACAGG